UAUUUCUCCUCUACAUUUUUUUUCCUUUCUUUUUCUUCUCUUUUUCUUUCCAUUAAUUUUGUUCCCCACUCCAUCAACUCCACUACCCUAUGCUCCCCACCAUCUCCACUACCUUUGCUCCCCAUCAACUCCAACACUUCACCCAUUCCUUCCAUUUCGCACCAGCAAUCACAAAGAGAAGGAAGACUUGGCUUAACUACUUUGCCAAGAUUUCAAGCUGCUCCAGUCCAGUAGUACCCCAACACUCGAAGCUAGAGUUUAUUGGGUGAAAAACCGUGCAUGAGGUCGAGCGCAAGAAUAAGAGCUCGUCAAGGAGUCACUAAUCUGUAGCAAAGCUUUGCUAUCAGGUUGAGCAGCUGCCGAUGGUGAUGAAGUGACGAGCGGGACUCUUUUGUCUUAUUAUGUAUUAAUGAACUCUAGGGUUACAUGUCUUCAUACAUGUAAUCAGAACCUUAUUCCGCUGCGUACUCAGAAGUUUUAUGUUAUUUUGGACAAGUCGGAGUUAUCCGAAGUUGUUAGUUAUUUGAGUCUAUACGACAAAAACUCUGUUAUAUUAUAGAUAUCUAUGUUGUUAACAAUG